GCCCGCCUAGCUCAAUCGGAUAGAGCGUCAGACUCUUACGGCGGGUAGAAAAACCGAAUCUGAAGGCUGCGAGUUCGACCCUCGCGGUGGGCU
rfam:Gymnopus luxurians FD-317 M1 unplaced genomic scaffold GYMLTscaffold_50, whole genome shotgun sequence.